rnacentral:rRNA from 1 species
CUACGUGCCAGCAGCCGCGGUAAUACGGAAGGUCCGGGCGUUAUCCGGAUUUAUUGGGUUUAAAGGGAGCGUAGGCCGGAGAUUAAGUGUGUUGUGAAAUGUAGACGCUCAACGUCUGACUUGCAGCGCAUACUGGUUUCCUUGAGUACGCACAACGUUGGCGGAAUUCGUCGUGUAGCGGUGAAAUGCUUAGAUAUGACGAAGAACUCCGAUUGCGAAGGCAGCUGACGGGAGCGCAACUGACGCUUAAGCUCGAAGGUGCGGGUAUCGAACAGGAUUAGAUACCCUGGUAGUCCGCACAGUAAACGAUGGAUGCCCGCUGUUGGUACUUGGUAUCAGCGGCUAAGCGAAAGCAUUAAGCAUCCCACCUGGGGAGUACGCCGGCAACGGUGAAACUCAAAGGAAUUGACGGGGGCCCGCACAAGCGGAGGAACAUGUGGUUUAAUUCGAUGAUACGCGAGGAACCUUACCCGGGCUUGAAUUGCAGAGGAAGGAUUUAGAGAUA